AUGGGCCCAAGUGGAGAGGCAAACCUGGAGCAUCGUGUGUUCUCCAUGGAAAGCGUGGAUUCUCAGCUCUGGAGUGGAUACGAGUUUCCCCGGCUGUUCUCUUUACAGAGGGCUCUGCCUGCAGGACAGAGUGGGGCCUGGAACAGACCUGCGACCUGCCAUCUGCCUGUCCUAAGAGAGGCAGCUGGAAGCCCUGAGCUCAUUGGAGGAGGGCGCGCGGGGAGUCCUCCAGUGCUCUGUGGAAGACGGAAUGUUAAUCCGCGCUCAGACACCCGGGGGAGGAACAGAACAAAAUACAGAAGAGCUCAGGAAGUGUCACGACUGGGUAAUGCAAAUUGCACUGGGCGGGUGAAGAAGUCGUGCACGUCUUUCUUACAUUUUCUUUUCAUGUUCUACACGCACGGUUUACUUUGCCUGAUGAAUAAAAUUAGUAGAUUCAUCCAGGCCAGAAACAACACUGCACUAUAUGGAUAGAAAAACAGAUAAAACAAAAAGCUCCCCCCAGAAGAUAACCACAACCAGUGUUUAAUGGUUUUUGUGUUCAUUUCAUGUGCAAAGACACACACACACAUCUGUGUGAUGAAUCUAUGCUAUGUUCCCUGCCUUCUUGGGUGCACACUUUUCAUAUUGUAGUGUUUCUUUUUUUUUAAGAUUUAUUUAUUUCAUUUCAAAGUCAGAGUUACACAAAGAGAGAAGCGGCAAAGAGAGAGGUCUUCCAUCCGCUGGUUCACUCCCCAAUUUGCUGCUACACCCGGAGCUGCACCGAUCCGAAGCCAGGAACCAGGAGCUUCUCCCAGGCCUCCCACAUGGGUGCAGGAGCCCAAGGACUUGGGCCAUCUCCUACCGCUUUCCCAGACCAUAGCAGAGAGCUGGAUCAGAAGUGGAACAGCCAGGACUUGAACCGGUGCCCAUAUGGGAUGCUGGCACUGCAGGUGGUGGCUUUACCCGCUAUGCCACAGCGCCGGCCCCUGUAGUGUUUCUGAAAUCAGGAUGCUGUUCAUAAUUGAGUGACGUUUCCCUUACUGCUGAAAUACCAUUAGGUCGGUGGCGCAUCCUGACCAAGGCCGUUCGAAGGGAGCAGAUACAGUAUCUGUACGUGGUAGCGUGGAGGGAAGCGGGGCAGCUUCAUAGGAGCUCUGUGCAGGGCAGUGGCUGUGUCCAGGGGGCAUCCAACGCAGCCGCGUCCGAGUGCCACUCACCUCCACUCCUGGGGCUGUGAGCGGAGAUCGGCGAUCUCCUGCCCGAGACCGGGCAUCUCGCCAAAGUUGUCCCCACCCCAGCCUCGUCCCCAGAGGAGGUGACUCUGAGGCGUGAAUUGUGUCAUUGUGAGGUAUGGAAGGAGGUCCACAUUUGAAUUCCAUGCAUAGCUUUUCUUUUAUGUUAGUGUAUUCAUUUGAAAGGCAGAGUGACAAGAAGAGAGAGAGAGAGAGGGACAGAGAUCCUCCAUCCACUGGCUCAUUCCCACAAUGGUCACAAUGGCUGGGCGGGGCUGGCCCAGGCCGAAGCCAGGUGCCCGGUGCUCCCUCUGGCUGUCCUACCUAGGUGGCAGGUGCCCAAACACUUGGGCCAUCUUCCACUGCCAUUAGCAGGAGGCUGGAGCAGAAGUGGAACAGCCAGUACUUGAACCAGGACUCUGAACUGAGAUGCUGGGGCCACAGGUGGCCGUUUAGCUCACUGCGCCACUGCGCCGGCCCAUGCGUAGUUUUUCAUAAUACACGUUUUCUGUGAACUUUUGGAAGACUCCUCAUAUACACUGAUUUCAAAAAAUUUUGCACCCAAAUAUACUUGUCAUUUAAUUCCAUUUUCCCAUGGCCUUUGUCAAGUACCCACAUUGGUUGACGUGUCCUGGGGCACACUGUAUCCCCAGGGGCCGGAAGGGCCUGGCCCCCCUGGGGCACUGGGAUUUCCCAACCGUCUCUCAGCUCUGUGGGCUGUGCGCUCACUCCUACCUGUGCUUCGGGGUCUGAGGCCAGAUGGAGCUCCUCCGCUGACAUCUCCUCCCCAGGAAUCCGGGCUGGAGAGGGACACAGCAGACUGUGGGCUGCAGGAGCCCCUGCUGUACUGGUCACAGCUGCGGGCAGGCAGCCGGCCCCGGGGGGAUUCUCGACUCGGACCCCGAGGAUGUCAGAGCGGGAAGGGAUUUGCAGGUCAGAGAGAUGUGGUCUCACUUGACGUUCUGCGUGGUAUACAAGAAGCACUCUGCAAAUAUUUGUUGAAUGAUGACUGACGGUAGUGUUGACAUCAAAGGAUUUCGAUGAUGGGGACGAAUCCGAUGCAGCCAGGUCUGUGCAACUCCCCGGGAAGCUCUGAGCUGAGUAGCAGCAGCAGGAGGGAGGAGGGGGAAGCGGCUUGAUGCUCAGCCCCUGCCGGGCCCUGGCAGGUGAUCCCGGGAAGUCAGAUGACCCUCGGGGACUCCUUCAUUCGUUCAAUGCGUGCAUUCCCUCUGCAGCACACUGUGCCAGGCUCCGGGGCAUCCCCAGCGAACAACAAAGCCUCCUGCCUGGGGAUCCAAGAGAAAGAGGAGGGUUAAGGGGGUCUCCAGGUUUCCUUCCCUAUAAGAGGGGCUGUGGGCUCAGGGCCUCACAGAUGGUUGAAGGGCAGGGCGGGUUCCGGGCGUGUGGGUGUGGCACAGCCCUUCUCUGCUCCCCUCUCCCAGAAGUCAGCUACUUCGACGUCACCAGGUGAGCAGGAGAGGCCACAGGACAGCCUUCAAGGAAGCUCUCGUUCCCCAGAAUUCCAUUCGUCCACACAUUUUUAAAAAGCCACCAUUGUAGAAGCUCACAAGCUCUGUGUUAGGCGGGGGACACAGAGAGAAGUGUGGGGGUGAUGGCGAGGACCAGGACCCCGUCCUGUGUUAAUUCCUGGUGUGAGCUCUGGCUCACUGCGUCCCCACGUUGGCUCCCCAUGUUGGGACUGUUGGCCAGGCUGGCUGUCAAGGGUCCCAUGCUCAAGGGUUCUAGAAUCUUGCCAGGGUGUUUCUCGGACUUCAAACCCCUCGUGUUUAUGAAGUGUGCCCCAAAGCCUCAGCGCUGCACCAUGGGUGUCUUUGUACACUGAACAAAUGCUCAGGGAAGGCUCCGCCCUUGCCCCUCCGUCACACAGCAGGGGGGCAGUGUGCAGGUGCCAGCACUGACCAGUCUGCUUCACCCCUGCACAGUCCUUGGCUUUACCGUGGCACUCGGAGGUGGGAGGGGCAGCGCGGUUGAUGUCCACUUGGCAGGUGAGGAGUCAGACGGGAGAAGUGCGGCAGCCACGGUUAUGCAGGCAGUAGAUGGCAGAGUGAAGCCUUGACCCCUUGGCUCUGGACACCAAUUCUGGGCUCCUUUCUGUUCAUUGUUCUAGCCCGUGGUGGCUCAUGGGUGUUGAGAAUUAGGUUAAAGGGAGCUGCAAGCAAGACCCUGGAAGUAGAUGCAGGACGUGUGAGCUGCAGGGAGAGGAAGUGGCAGAGGGAGGCGGGCGGGAGCCUAGAGCGCCUGGUGCUGCAGGGUCUGGCCGGGUCGGGGCCCUGGAGUGGGGGGCACCGGCUCCUCCUGCCCUCUAAAGCUGACUUUUGCCCGGAUUUCUACACGACCUUUCAUGAUUCCCAGGUGUGCGAGACCGGUAAAUCGAGAGUGUUUGUAACAGAAUGCUGAGUGUUGGAUGGGCAGGGUGGGUAGGGAGGGGUCUAGUAGCCUGUCACUUGGCUCCAGCCCCAGCUGAGUCCUGUUACACUGCCUCCUGUGGAUGGCGGUGGUAGUGCAGGAGCCGGGCCCACACUAGGUAGGUGCAAGCCGAGGCUGAGUUGAGUGACAGGUGUAGGACCCAAACGAUUGGAUGGUGGGUGGAAGCAAACAAGGAGAUUAGUGCCAGGCCCUACGUGGGGACCCCCCAGACUCCUACUUGCCUCGAAGGCACGCGGUGAGCGUGUGAGUCUGCAGCGUUAUCUGUAGAAGGAAACAGGAGUCAUUGCAGUUUUAGUUUGAAUGACUGUGCAGUGUCAGAAAAUGCUGUUAGCAGUGGAUUCCAUUAAUAAAGAUGGACGCUCUGUCGGAGGGAGGUGACA
rnacentral:lncRNA from 1 species